ensembl:snoRNA
GCUCAAUGAUGUAACCUAUCCAGAAACUGAUGACUUGAAGAAAAGCAUGUACGGAUUCGGCUUCUGAUAU